rnacentral:snoRNA from 1 species
GCUGCUGCUGCUGCUGCUGCUGCUGCUGCUGUGCAACAAGAGCAACAGCAGCAGGAAGCAGAGAGCAGCAGAGACUGCAGCAAGAACAUGAGCGCAGACUGUGAGUCUCACCAUC